rnacentral:misc_RNA from 1 species
UUAAGUUCAGCGGGUACUCCUACCUGAUCCGAGGUCAAACUGGAUAAAAAUCUGACAUCAGCACCGAUUGGGUCUUUGAGCGAUAAGAGAUUCCCAUACACUCAGACACCAGAACUCGGUGCUGCCACUGCAUUUCAGACCCGUCCACAGAAGAGGGACGAUGGCCCAACACACAAGCUGUGCUUGAGGGGUUGCAAUGA